rnacentral:rRNA from 1 species
AGUGGGUGUAACGUACCUACUAGCCUACGACGGGUACGGGUUGUGAGAGCAAGAGCCCGGAGAUGGAUUCUGAGACACGAAUCCAGGCCCUACGGGGUGCAGCAGGCGCGAAAACUUUACAAUGCGGGAAACCGUGAUAAGGGAAUCUCGAGUGCCAGCAUAUAAUGUUGGCUGUCCAGAUGCCUAAAAAGCAUCUGUUAGCAAGGGCCGGGCAAGACCGGUGCCAGCCGCCGCGGUAACACCGGCGGCCCGAGUGGUAACCGCUUUUAUUGGGUCUAAAGGGUCUGUAGCCGGCCAUGUAAGUCCCUUGGGAAAUCUGGCAGCUCAACUGUCAGGCUGCUAGGGGAUACUGCUUGGCUUGGGACCGGGAGAGGUGAGAGGUACCUUGAGGGUAGGGGUGAAAUCUUGUGAUCCUCGGGGGACCACCAGUGGCGAAGGCGUCUCACCAGAACGGGUCCGACGGUAAGGGACGAAAGCUAGGGGCACGAACCGGAUUAGAU